UCGAACGCGAAAGUUCCCUUCGGGGAACAAGUAGAGUGGCGCACGGGUGAGUAACACGUAGGUAAUCUACCUUCGGAUUGGGAAUAACAACCGGAAACGGUUGCUAAUACCGAAUAAUGCAGCGGCACCUAAUGGUGACAGUUGUUAAAGCGGGGGAUCGCAAGACCUCGCGUCUGAAGAGGAGCCUGCGGCGGAUUAGCUAGUUGGUAAGGUAAUGGCUUACCAAGGCGAUGAUCCGUAGCCGGCCUGAGAGGGCGGUCGGCCACACUGACACUGACAUACGGGUCAGACUCCUACGGGAGGCAGCAGUCGGGAAUUUUGGGCAAUGGGCGAAAGCCUGACCCAGCAACGCCGCGUGAAGGAUGAAAUCCCUCGGGAUGUAAACUUCGCAAGAACGGGAAGAAUAAGUGAGAGCUAACAUCUCUUACGAUGACGGUACUGUUUGUAAGCUCCGGCUAACUCCGUGCCAGCAGCCGCGGUAAUACGGGGGGAGCAAGCGUUGUUCGGAUUUACUGGGCGUAAAGGGCGCGUAGGCGGCCACCGCAAGUCGACUGUGAAAUCUCCGGGCUUAACCCGGAAAGGUCAGCCGAUACUGCGGGGCUAGAGUGCAGAAGGGGCAACUGGAAUUCUCGGUGUAGCGGUGAAAUGCGUAGAUAUCGAGAGGAACACCUGCGGCGAAGGCGGGUUGCUGGGCUGACACUGACGCUGAUGCGCGAA
rnacentral:rRNA from 1 species